rnacentral:lncRNA from 1 species
ACAACCCUAUAAUUUCACUUGUAUGUAUGUUGCUUAACUUAAUUAAUCUCUCUCUUCUUCUUUUUGAUAUCCAUGAUGUUGGCAUUAGUUUACGGUUAUAUCACUACUUUAAUUUAUUGACUGCUAGAAGAAACCUCUAUGGUGUCUCAUUUGCACGUUGAUUUGUAGUACCUUGAAAUUAAAGUGUGAUUUGAUCCUAGUUAUGAAUAACAUAUACUAUAAUUAAGGUGUUAUCACUAAUUUGUAUAUAUUAUUGGUGACAUGUGAUGUGCAAUUUGCUGUCUGUGAAUGUAUACACAGUCAACACCAUUAAUACCUUUGUUGUUUAGUUUUUUAAUGCCUACUGGUUUUACUCUUGCUUCUACUAACAUUAAGAGAGUAAGCUUGACUAACUCAAGAUUGUAUUUGUUUCAAUCUCUAGCUCAUUUGAUACAUAUAAUUAGUUGGCUAGCUGUGGGAUAAAGAUGAAGGAAAGAAAGUUUAAAAGGUUAAUAAGUAGUAGUACUACUUUAGUUUGGUCUUGGAUGCAUGUUUAAACGUUUCACGUGAAAUUUCCAUUUCCUUGAGGAAUUACUACUAAUUAGGAAAACUAAACCUUUUGCAGAAAUAAUAUACUCCUAAGAUUUUAUUUUUAUGAUAGUGAAAAACAGUUUUGACCUAGUAUUGGAAUGAAUUGUAAGGGACGAAUCCAAGGACUAAAAGAACAAUGAUAUAUAAACCAAUUAAGUCAAUAUCAAUGAUGAGAACAUUGAGAAGAGAUUGCUUUUGGAUGACCAGAGACGUUCAAGGACGGCAGUAUAUGUGGAAAUAAAGAGCUUUUAAUUCAAUCCUUUGGAAAGACAGUUAAUACUUUUUAAACUAUAACACACAAAUUUAGUACAAAUUAUUGUCUUCAUGAGGUUCUAUAUAGUGGUGUAGUAUAUUGUAGUGAUUAAUAUUUUCAAACAGUUACAGGCAUCUUUUUUUGUUAUUUAUGUUUAAUCCAUCUUGUUGGAUCAUUUUUUACUGAAAUUGAUCGCUGGAUUGAAUUUGUAACUCAAAAGGAGUUGAAAGAGUUUGAACAGAAAUUAGCAGCUGGCUGGGUAGAAUUGAGAAAUUGUUGUCUGGCGAUACCGGCAAGUUCGAAGUACAUGGAAAUAAUACGCUGUACGAUGUCAAAGUGUCCAUAUCUGUUGUUUGCAACAUAAUUUAAAUUCAUGAAAAAUAAAUUUUAACCACAAACAAAAAUAUGAAGAAACAAGAAUUUUUUAUUGAUAAACGAUUGUGGUUACAAAUCUGUUUGAUUCUUCUCUCUUGAUUCUCUCCGUACUUCGAGGGCCGUUAGUGGCUUAUUCUCGAACAUAGGAUGAUCUCUUUAUGAAUAUCCCAUGAUUUUGUGGAGAUCCCGAUCUUUUUACGAAUACCCAUCAGCUUAUUGGAUAUUGAUGCCUGUUUCAGCGAACAUGUUACCCUUUAAAUAGACGAGAUUUAGGAUAUAGCCUGCUAGAACUCUAACAGAAUUUGAAUUCGUAUUGAAGAGUCCACAAAUUUUAGAUGCUUACAAAUGCUCCUCAUUUUGUUUGCAACAAAUUUUCUUUGUGCUGAAAAUUAACUGCAAGUAAAAAAAAAGAAUGAAAAGAAAAUAAUAACUUUAUUUAUAAGAAUAUGUGAGUACAAUUCUGUGAUUCUCUCGAUUCUUCCUCCUAAGCUUUUCUUUGAUUCAAGGGCCUUUUGUGGCGUGAUUUUCGAACUUCCAGAUGAUUUUCGAACUUCCGGAUGAUUUGAGUCGGGCCUUUUGUGGCGUGAUUUUCGAACUUCCGGAUGAUUUGAGCCUCCUAGAAAUGCGUUUGGAUAUCCAGGAACAGAACUUCGUCUUGCCGAGUUGAUCUACGGGCGCGUGAUUUUCGAACUUCCGGAUGAUUUGAGCCUCCUAGAAAUGCGUUUGGAUCUCCAAGAACAGAACUUCGUCUUGCCGAGUUGAUCUACGGGCAGAACUCCGUUGGUCAAUUCUUUGAAGAGUCGUG